GUUAUAUUUCUCCCAUAAAGACUCGAUCACCGAUAAGUAUGAACAGGAUUUAUUUAAAUAACGACAUGGGAAUAUUUUGCAUGGUAAAUCUUUGGCAUGAGCCUCGUCACUGAUCCAGGGUGACGUGCGGACUCGGCGUAUCCUGCCAGGACUAGCAGGGGCGGAGCCUUCCCCUGGACAAGUAGACUGAGGCCGACCUGGUGGUGGUGGGGUGGAUGGAGUUUCAGCUCAAUUUAAUUUGCUGAAUGGAGCUGAUAUGGACCUGAAGGAUUCCUCGCGGGUCAAUGUGGAGGCUGAUAUAUUCGACGAACUACUGAGAUCUGCUAAAGUAUCUUUCAAGGUGUCCACUGAGCUCUCUGCUGAGAGCGAGGUGUCAGAUGCCUCCUUCGUCUCAGAAGAGGGGUUGUUCUCACCAUUCCAGCCUGUGAGGUCAUCUUCAUCAGUCGAGUCUGUGAACUCCACAGCUUCAACAGUGAGCCAAAAAGAAUGGAAAAAGUGACAACUGACUGAGGGACCACCUGACUGUAACAUGGCAAUAGAUGAGCAUUACUAUGAUCCUCGCAGUGGUCAAGGUUACCUGGCCUAUAGAUUGAAAACAGUGAGCGUAACAAUACAGGCAAAUCCGACACGAAUGCCAGGCCUGUUUAUGAAGGUAGCCUGAAGGUUCUGCGAGAGACCUCAGCAUCUGAACAGCUAUCAGGUGAUGAAUGCAUGGAGGCAAUGUCCAUCAUGAAACAUUCGGUGGACUAGCCAGUUGUCAAAGAAAAAAUGAAGGCAAUGUUCAAGCAUAGACAGAAGAUGCUACGCGAUCCUGACCAGUCCUCGCUUGUCCUGGAUCACUUCCCCCGAUUCCUGGAUACACCAGGCCUGAUAAGAA
ensembl:lncRNA